CCAAGUUUGUUAUCCGUCUGACGGACACGCCUCGCGAGUGAUGAAAGCGUUCGGGUCGUAAACUCUGUUGUUAGGGAAGAACAAGUGCUAGUUGAAUAAGCCGGCACCUUGACGGUACCUAACCCGAAGCCACGGCUAACUACGUGCCAGCAGCCGCGGUAUACGUAAGUAGCACGCGUUAUCCGGAAAUAUUGGGCGUAAAGCGCGCGCAGUGGUUUCUUAAGUCUGAUGUGAAAGCCCACGGCUCAACCGUGGAGGGUCAAUGGAAACUGGGAGACUUGACGCAUAAAACGAAAGUGGAAUUCCAUGUGUAGCGGUGAAAUGCGUAGAGAUAUGGAGGAACACCACUGGCGAACGAGACUUUCUGGUCUGUAACUGACACUGAGGCGCGAAAGCGUGGGGAGCAAACAGGAUUAGAUACCCGGUUUUUUUCCAAA
rnacentral:rRNA from 1 species